rnacentral:rRNA from 1 species
UGGGGAAUCUUGCGCAAUGGGCGAAAGCCUGACGCAGCGACGCCGCGUGCGGGAUGACGGCCUUCGGGUUGUAAACCGCUUUCAGCAGGGACGAGGCCGCAAGGUGACGGUACCUGCAGAAGAAGCCCCGGCUAACUACGUGCC